rnacentral:antisense_RNA from 1 species
CACCCGGCGAGGCAAGCGCCACAAGGGGGGCGCGGCUGGACUGGAACAGGGGCUGGCCACGCGUGAACCGGGGAAGCGAAGGGGCCGGAUGUCGGGGGACAUCCGGCCCCGUUUUU